rnacentral:rRNA from 1 species
UAGGGAAUCUUCCGCAAUGGGCGAAAGCCUGACGGAGCAACGCCGCGUGAGUGAUGAAGGUCUUCGGAUCGUAAAACUCUGUUAUUAGGGAAGAACAAAUGUGUAAGUAACUAUGCACGUCUUGACGGUACCUAAUCAGAAAGCCACGGCUAACUACGUGCCAGCAGCCGCGGUAAUACGUAGGUGGCAAGCGUUCUCCGGAAUUAUUGGGCGUAAAGCGCGCGUAGGCGGUUUUUUAAGUCUGAUGUGAAAGCCCACGGCUCAACCGUGGAGGGUCAGUGGAAACUGGAAAACUUGAGGGCAGAAGAGGAAAGUGGAAUUCCAUGUGUAGCGGUGAAAUGCGCAGAGAUAUGGAGGAACACCAGUGGCGAAGGCGACUUUAUGGUCUGUAAAUGACGCUGAUGUGCGAAAGCGUGGGGAUCAAACAGG